rnacentral:misc_RNA from 1 species
AAGUCGUAACAAGGUUUCCGUAGGUGAACCUGCGGAAGGAUCAUUGAUGAAAUAUUGGGGAGAUCGGUGUGGGAGGGGGGCCCUCUUGGGGGCUUGCUUCUCUCUACCAAUCUCUUUGAUUAUUUUUUUCAAACGCACCGGCUCGAAAGAGUCUGGUAUGUAAACUGUUUUCCUUUUUUUUCUAGUCGUACUUUUUCUGGUUUUCUCAAAACCAAAAAAAAAGAAUGGCAGCUCUUUAGAACCAUUUUUAAGUCAUUAAAGUUAUAAUAAAUAUAUAUAAAAAUUCAUUACAACUUUCAGCAAUGGAUCUCUUGGCUCUC